GACGAACGCUGGCGGCGUGCUUAACACAUGCAAGUCGAACGGAGAGGCCCUGCUUUUGUGGGGUGCUCGAGUGGCGAACGGGUGAGUAACACGUGAGUAACCUGCCCUUGACUUUGGGAUAACUUCAGGAAACUGGGGCUAAUACCGGAUAGGAGCUCCUGCUGCAUGGUGGGGGUUGGAAAGUUUCGGCGGUUGGGGAUGGACUCGCGGCUUAUCAGCUUGUUGGUGGGGUAGUGGCUUACCCAGGCUUUGACGGGUAGCCGGCCUGAGAGGGUGACCGGCCACAUUGGGACUGAGAUACGGCCCAGACUCCUACGGGAGGCAGCAGUGGGGAAUAUUGCACAAUGGGCGGAAGCCUGAUGCAGCAACGCCGCGUGCGGGAUGACGGCCUUCGGGUUGUAAACCUCUUUCGCCUGUGACGAAGCGUGAGUGACGGUAAUGGGUAAAGAAGCACCGGCUAACUACGUG
rnacentral:rRNA from 1 species